GGCCUCGUAGCUCUGCUGGCAGAGCGUGAGCUAUACAAAAGCGUAGGUGGAGUCCAUGCGUGGGUUCAAAUACCACCGAGGCUG
rnacentral:tRNA from 1 species